rnacentral:piRNA from 1 species
UAGGUUUGAAAAGCUAGCUGACCUAGG